rnacentral:rRNA from 1 species
UACGUAGGUGGCAAGCGUUGUCCGGAUUUACUGGGCGUAAAGAGCGCGCAGGCGGUCGUUCAAGUCGAGUGUGAAAGCCCCCGGCUCAACUGGGGAGGGUCACUCGAUACUGAUCGACUCGAAGGCAGGAGAGGGUAGUGGAAUUCCCGGUGUAGAGGUGAAAUUCGUAGAUAUCGGGAGGAACACCAGUGGCGAAGGCGGCGACCUGGACAGAUAUUGACGCUGAGGUGCGAAAGCGUGGGGAGCAAACAGG